rnacentral:rRNA from 1 species
GUACACGCUGUGACUAGCAUAUCAAUAAGCGGAGGAAAAGAAACUAACUAGGAUUCCCUCAGUAACGGCGAGUGAAGCGGGAAGAGCUCAAAUUUGAAAUCUUCAAGGUUCUACCUUGACGAAUUGUAGUUUAAAGAAGUGUUUUCUGUUGGAGUUUUGGUAAAAGUUCUUUGGAAUAGGACAUCAUAGAGGGUGAGAAUCCCGUAUUUGACCAUUAUUUCCAGCUUUGUGAUACACUUUCAAAGAGUCGGAUUGUUUGGGAAUGCAGUCCAAAAUGGGUGGUAAAUUUCAUCUAAAGCUAAAUAUUGGCGAGAGACCGAUAGCGAACAAGUACCGUGAGGGAAAGAUGAAAAGAACUUUGAAAAGAGAGUUAAACAGUACGUGAAAUUGUCAAAAGGGAAGCGUUUGACACCAGUGUUGUUUUCUCGAAAAUCAAUUAAAAAGAGUUGGAUUUUGUGUUGUAUUGACCUUAACAGCUUUCUUCACUCUUUUCCUGCUUUUUUUAAUGCACUUUUCGUUUAACAAGUCAACAUCAAUUUCUUUUGUUGUAAAAGGGUCAUUGGAAGGUGGCUUUCUUUUCGGAGAAAGUGUUUAUAGCCUUUGGCCUCUGCAAUCGGAGAGAUUGAGGUCUGCAGCGUAGAUCCUUCGGGGUUAGAUACAUUUGUGCUAAGUUAUAGCCUUUCAUAGACAACUUGUUGACUAUGAUCAGUCAUGUAGCUUACUCGCUUAUGCUAUUUUACCUACGCUUAGGAUGUUGAAGACUCUACAGAGAUA